AUUUCUUAAUUAGAAGAGUACAUGCAGAUACAUAUUUAUAGAGAUGGUCAACCGACUUCCUUGCUAGCCCACCGACUUUCUUUACUUCCAUCGACUCAAUUUACAAUUAUCAAUUACAUUCUAGACUUUUCUACAACCUGAUUAUAUUCCAACUUGCAUGAUUCUUCUAGAUAUUUUCUACUAUGAUUUGAUAAUUCUAGAUCAAUCUACAAGCUCUAGAUUAAUCUAGGUAAUUUGAGAACAGUUUAGAACACUCCAAUGAGCAUUACUGUUUUAACAAACUCAAACUGCAACCUUCCAAUCUUCUCAGAUCCUUUCCAUGCUUGUUCAGUUACUCUCUGUCUGCGGACUUUUCCAGCCUCCAACUCUAUGGAAGUCUGCUCGUCCAAAGAUGGAAACUCUUCAACAUUCUUUUUCAACUGAUCAUUAAUAUCCACCAGCUGCACAACCGCGUCCUCAACUUUCGUGUAACUGUCUUUUCACUAUUUCGUAUUCAGAGCUAACUCUUCUUGUUGGUCUCCACAUUCUUAUGCAAGUCUUGCACAGACGUUUGCAGACUCAUCAGUUUCUGAGCAUCAGAAGCAAGCCUCUCCAAGAUCUUUUCCUUCUUGCCAUCAUGACUUGGUUGUCGAAUACUGUUCAUGGUGAUGAAGAUGUUGGGACCAAGGUUGAGAGGCCUGCAGAAGAAGCAGUCCCUGAGGCACCAGUUGAGAUUGUUGGAGCUUAGAAAUUGCCUGUGUUUAGAGUUGUUCCAUUAUGUCCUGUGAACUUGAAUACCGUGUUACUUGUUGCUUUAUGUUCCAGCAGCUUGCGAACAAGAAUGUCGUUUUGACUUAAAUUUUGUGCUAUAAUUCUAAAUACCUGAAUUUUAUGAAAUUUUGUGCUUUAUGUUCUAUCUUGCGAACAAGAAUGAUUCUGUUUUGCGUUAUUA